rnacentral:lncRNA from 10 species
UUAUUAAGCAUUGCCCUGGCCUAAGACACCACAUGGGUCAUUUCUUCCAGGCUCCAACUUGCUUCUGCUUUGCCAUAUGGUAACACGCCGUAUUAUGGAAGCACCAUCAUUACCGCCAUUUGCAGGGGAAGCCUAAAGAGAUAAAUGCCAGCCAGCAUCCCUGUCUCUGGGGCCCUGGAGAGGCCUUCAACACACCUGGCCUCACUGCCCUGUGGCUUCAACAAAGAGGCCGAGCAUCUCCUAUAAACCUUGAGGUCCAUGGAUGACAUAGCGGAAUGAUGGAUUUCAGAAAAGGCAGGUGCUUCCCACUCUUUAAAUUUUUGUUUAUUCUUUCCAAGUUUCCCAUCAACAGCCCUGCAGUAAAAAUUCAGGGCUUCAGAGACAAAUAUUUCAUGAGUACAGACUGUGAUGAGGAAAAGCAAGCCAUUCCCUCUCUAUCAGGAUCCAGAGCACACUGCUGUUACGACUCCAGAACCGAUAAGGAAGCUAUGUGUGGAAGUAUGAGCUCAGGUCGCCUUCUGACCCUCUGUGACGGUCUAUUUCAGGCAGUUAUGGAUAGAUAACAUUACAGACACUGGUAAUUAAAACAACACUAAUUUUGUCUCUGUGGUCACGCUUUGUUGUUAGAAGCCAUCUAUCAUGGCCUUCACGCAUCACGCAAUGAGAAGACAUUUGUCUACGUACAUUGUGCUUGGUCAACGGUUUUACGGAUUUCCCCGCGUACCUGGACACCCAGGCACUUUUAAAGACGUACUGCCUUCAUUUCUACUCUAUUACUCUGAUUAAUAAAACAUUUUGCAUGCUUCAUCAAAACACCCUGCAAGCUUUUCACCACAUAUAUUCAUGGGGGGGGAAGCAAUGUUAAUUUCUUUCCCUUUUAGAAAGAAACUAACAACAACAACAACAAAAGAAAUUCUCUUUUGGAUUGGAAGAGAGAAAGAAAAAUUCAAAUAUGGAAAUAUUUGUCUUCCCUGUAAAACAGAGUCCAGCCUAAUGAAAAGCAUAAUAUUAAAACACACACACAAUGCCAAGCAUCUCCUUUAAGGCUACACGUAUUUUUGACUAUAUGUAUCGUUAGUUCUUUUCUGUGCAUUCAUUUGCUUGAUUUAUGGACACUCAAUUUCACUUCACCUUUUAUUACAAGAUCUACAGUUACAUUAAGAGUAAUAGCAAGUCAAAUGUUUUUAUAUUUGGGCAAUUAAAAAAAAAGAAAAGAUCUAUUCCUUGGGCCCUUAUAAGAAAUUAGGGAUAGCUGAAAUGCAAGAUGACUAGUUUAGUUCUGUUGUAAUCAACUAAGAAGAAACUGUAAUGGUGCAUUUCAAGGGAUCUUUAACAAGUGACACAAACAAGAGAAGAAGCAGACAGGACCAUUUAACUUCAAACUCCACCGAAGAGAGCUGAAUUGUAAGCUUCCUACAGCAAGCCCGGCUGGCGGCUAUGUGGCAGUCUUCAUUUCUCAGCGGAAAAGCCACUCCCUUGAGACUCUCCAGGCACCCCCCAACCGCAUUUUUUAUCAAGUGUCUAAAAGACACAAUGAACAAAAACCAGAGCUUUUGAAUACAGAUUUCCAGUAAAACCAAACCCAGCUUGGGUCAGAUGCACCUUUCCAGCAACCACCAUCUCAGCAACAACCUGCCAGCUGUCAACUGGAAGUUCAGCUUCUGGGAACUUCAGCCCCCUUCUCAGAGGAGCAAGGUCCUAGCACCAACAGCACCUGCAGUGGAGCCCAAGUAUGGCUGCUUCAUGGAGAAGGCAGAUAUUGAAAUGUGAUCACUGAGGCUCAGUGGGAAUCCCUUUGCUCUCAAACUCCCCGAUGCAAUGCCUUCUGAUUUCAACAGAAAAGCAAGAGGCUCCAGGCACCCCAUUCAGGGACUGCCACCAAAGUACCCGCAAAUCCUUCAUGAAAGGGGAGACAUUGACACAUUCUUUUUUUAUUCUCUGGUAGGUAUCUGUUUGCGUGCAAAUCCGUGAGUGCUUGCAUCUCGUGUAUUUGAAAAUCCUGUUUAAGAAUGCAGAGGUCCAUAUAGUGUCAUUAAAACAAAUGAGUAUAACCCUUUGGUCAUCUAGGUGAAAGCAUUUUGUUGGGUUUUUUUUUUUUCAAAUUGCUAUUGCUAUAUAUAAAUGUAACGUAUAGCAAUAACCGUAGAAAGAUACUGUGCCCUUGUGUAUGGAUAAUUAAAAUAGGAACAUCUCUGGACUAAAUUAAAAUGUGUAAAAACCAAAUCCUUAUAGCAUCCAUGAAAUUACAGAAGCUACAAGUGAAUCACUAGCCCAGGGACGAAGCAUUUCUCUCAUUACUUCAUGAACCUCUUCCAUGAUCACAGUUUUACAUUUUCACAAAUCUACAUGGUUCUUUUUAUGUCACUAAAUAUCUCAGCUCACUUUUACUGCCCUCCUUAUAGACAUGCGAGUUGGUAACAGCACGCAAACAGUCUCCAAUCAUUUAAGAGAAACCAACACUUUCAGUGCUUUUGAUGACACUUAUUACUACAAAUUAUGAACUAAAAAACUGAGCAGGAUAUAAGGAGAUAAAUUACAUCUUUAGAACAUAAAGGGGGAAAAAUGCAUAUUUUUCAGUACCAGAAAAUCAAAACCCAUGGGUCCUAAUCUAUGAAUUAAGAAGACCUGAAUACCUGAGAACGUGUACACAGAUUUUUGCCCUAACCCAUGACCUGCUUAACUGUGUAACUCCCCUCAACAGAAAGAUCCUGAUUUGCCCUUUUCUCCUCUGUACUUUGAACAUAAGAGGUGUUAUUACCCAUAACUUUUUAUUUAAAGGAAUUGUGCAGCUGGGAAAAUGAAUGAAUUUAAUUAUCAAUGCAGUGUGAAAAAAAUCAUUAGAGCAAGGGCCUGGAACGCCACAUAUUAAAAAUAAACAAAGGCUAUUAAAAAACAGUUCCAAAAAGGAACGUCAGUUUUUCUUCAAUUCUUAAAAUGUAAAUACCAAAAAGAAAACCAUAUGUAAACAUCUAUAGUUACAGAAGAAAUUACUCUUUAAGAAAAUGUUAAAUGACUGACUGGAUCAUUUAACUUUAAAUCUAUACUUUAUGUGGCAGUAUAGGAAGGUCAUUUGAUUGCCAUGCAUAGAAAAAUGAGAAUUCUAAUGUGUUCUCAAAGUUUCACCUUCAUAAGACAAAAUUUUCAUUAUGAAAUUGUAUUUAAUGGUGAGCACAUAGAACUUCUUCCUCAAUUGCAUGGGAUGACACUUCUGUCAGAGGCGUGUGAACCAGAGCAACUCCAUCUUGAAUGGGGGCUGGGUAAAAUGAUGCUGAGACCCACUGGGCUGCAUUCCCAGACUGUUAAGGCAUUCUAAGUCACAGGAUGAGAUAGGAGGCUGACACAAGACAUGGGUCGUAAAGACCUUGCUGAUAAAAACAGAUUGUAGUAAAGAAGACUGCUAAAACCCACCAAAACCAAGAUGGCCAUGACAGUGACCUCUGGUCAUCCUGACUGCUACUCUCCCACCAGCGCCAUGACAGUUUACAAAUGCCGUGGUAAUGUCAGGAAGUUACCCUCUAUGGUCUAAAAAGGGAAUAUAUGAAUAAUCCACACGUUGUUUAGCAUAUCAUCAAGAAAUAACCAUAAAAAUGGGCAACCAGCAGUGCUUGGGGAUGCUCUGUCUAUGGAGUAGCAAUUCUUUUAUUCCUUUACUUUCU